AUUGAACGCUGGCGGCAAGCCUAACACAUGCAAGUCGAACGAGUGGCGGACGGGUGAGUAAUGUCUGGGAAACUGCCUGAUGGAGGGGGAUAACUACUGGAAACGGUAGCUAAUACCGCCUACCAUCGGAUGUACCCAGAUGGGAUUAGCUAGUCGGGGGGGUAAAGGCUCACCUCGGCGACGAUCCCUAGCUGGUCUAAGAGGAUGACUAGCCACACUGGAACUGAGACACGGCCCAGAAUCCUACGGUAGGCAGCAGUGGGGAAUAUUGCACAAUGGGCGCAAGCCUGAUGCAGCCAUGCCGCGUGUAUGAAGAAGGCCUUCGGGUUGUAAAGUACUUUCAGCGGGGAGGCGUUACCCGCAGAAGAAGCACCGGCUAACUCCGUGCCAGCAGCCGCGGUAAUAC
rnacentral:rRNA from 1 species